CCUACGGGUGGCAGCAGUGAGGAAUAUUGGUCAAUGGGCAUAAGCCUGAACCAGCCAAGUCGCGUGAGGGAUGACGGUUCUAUGGAUUGUAAACCUCUUUUAUGAGGGAGCAAAGUAUGGGACGCGUCCCAUUUUGUGUGUACCUUAUGAAUAAGGAUCGGCUAACUCCGUGCCAGCAGCCGCGGUAAUACGGAGGAUGCGAGCGUUAUCCGGAUUUAUUGGGUUUAAAGGGUGCGUAGGCGGGCUUUUAAGUCAGCGGUGAAAGUCUGUGGCUCAACCCUAGCAUUGCCGUUGAAACUGGGGGGCUUGAGUAUGUGAGAGGCAGGCGGAAUGCGUGGUGUAGCGGUGAAAUGCUUAGAUAUCACGCAGAACCCCGAUUGCGAAGGCAGCCUCCCGGGCCUUAACUGACGCUGAUGCACGAAAGCGUGGGGAUCGAACAGGAUUAGAUACCCCAGUAGUC
rnacentral:rRNA from 1 species